GUGUGUUGUUAAUGUUUCUGUGCUACAAGUUUUGCAAAGUUUGGUUCGGAGGGAGUAUGGAACGCCGUUUUGUGGUCAACGUGGCCAGAGUGCCUCAAAAGUACUCCUGCCGCAUUCUGGUCACUGUUAUAAGUGUGAUGCCCUGACACCAUCAGCAACUUUUAAGUAGAUUCAUGGCACAUGAGGAACCUGUGAUGUACACCAUCGCACACAGUCAAGAAAAAUGUAGCAUUUAACCUUGCUUUCCUUCAUUAUAACAAAAAAAGGAAAAAAAAGAAAGAAAGAAAGGAAGAACACUAGAGAAAGGGUCGGCAAAACAGGAUCUGCACAACGACAGGGAGAUAGAACGCCAAGUGAAGUCGACUGUAUGCUUUGUGCAGACGGUUCAGCGUGUAUGACGCAGCGGCCUCCAGCAAGAGAAACUCAAGCACCGUGUUCAAAUGCGGUGGGGACUCUUGCUCGACAUGACAACGCUUAGAAGUGCUUUUUCGGAAGAAGGACAAGUUGAACCGGAAAUGAGGACCUAGGUGUGCUCUUUUGCGUUGUUGUUCACCGUUCGAUCAUCACCAAUUUUUGUGCCCACGUGAGUUCAACGCUCAGGUAUGUUGAUGAUAAAUGGAUAUACCUUAAAAGGUACGUACUCCGGAGUGGUGAAUUGUUGUGGUGAAGUGAUUUGUUGCUGCUAUCUCCUGUUUCGUGAGGGUUCUUGUCGGUACUCAUAUACCGCAGGCAUGAGGGGCUUUCUUUGCAGAACAUUUCAGUAAACCAAGACUGCAGCAUUUUCAAGAUUGCCAUAACCAGCAUCAAUGCAGCUCUCAUGUCAACAUCAGCAUC